rnacentral:rRNA from 1 species
GCAAAACGCGAAGAACCUUACCAAGGCUUGACAUAUACCGAAAACUCGUAGAGAUACGGGGUCCGCAAGGGCGGUAUACAGGUGGUGCAUGGUUGUCGUCAGCUCGUGUCGUGAGAUGUUGGGUUAAGUCCCGCAACGAGCGCAACCCUCGUCCUAUGUUGCCAGCGGGUAAUGCCGGGGACUCAUAGGAGACUGCCGGGGUCAACUCGGAGGAAGGUGGGGAUGAGGUCAAAUCAUCAUGCCCCUUAUGUCUUGGGCUUCACGCAUGCUACAAUGGCCGGUACAAAGGGCUGCGAUACCGCAAGGUGGAGCGAAUCUCAAAAAGCCGGUCUCAGUUCGGAUUGGGGUCUGCAACUCGACCCCAUGAAGUCGGAGUCGCUAGUAAUCGCAGAUCAGCAACGCUGCGGUGAAUACGUUCCCGGGUCUUGUACACACCG